UGCUAUCCAUCCGGUAUGAUGAGGGAGUGAAAGAGAGAGAGGCAGGGGCGCGGCUAUCGUCACCUGAAAUCGAGUGGGAACAUUGGGGAUCUAGGGCUCGGUUCUUCUACAGAGAGGGGUGUGAAGUCUGUGAAGUCGCUGGAGUCUGUGGAGCACUCCGCCGUCGACGCUGCUCCGCCGUCGCCGCUGCUACGAGCGCUAGGAGGUGGUGAAGUCGAUGUGCGCUAGGAGAUAGAUCUGAGACGGACAUGGAGGCGGAGUGAGCGAAGAAGAAAGAGGGAGCAGAGGCGGCGGCGGCGGCGGACGGUGCUGCAUGCGCCGCCCCGGCUCGCAGCGGCCGCCGCAGACAAGAGAUAAACGGAGAUCGAGAGGGAGAGCAGAGAGAGGGCAGGGAGAAAUAGAUCUCGAAAGAGAGAGAAAGAAUGGGGUUACCUGAAACAGGGUGGAGGCGGCGGAGGAGGGUGGGUGGACGCGGAGUCGCCGCGCCGUCGCCGUGGAGGAGGGUUAGGCGGCGAGGGUGAGAAAGUGAGAGUAAUCGGGAGAGAGAGAGAGUUAGAGUGAGGGUAGGUUUGAAAGUUGUUUUAAUUAGGCUUUUAAUUAGGUUUUAAU
rnacentral:lncRNA from 1 species